UACGUACUCCCUCCGUCCGAAAAUACUUAUCGCGAAAAUGGACGUAUCUAGACGUAUUUUAGUUCUAGAUACAUUCAUUUUUAUUCAUUUCUUCGACGAGUAUUUCCAGACGGAGGGACAAACAA
rfam:Triticum aestivum genome assembly, contig: Triticum_aestivum_CS42_TGACv1_scaffold_406508_5BL